ACAUGACUUUGAUCUGCGUCCUCAUCUGGACUCUCCUCUGCUGCUGCUUCACAGAGUCCAGAGGACAGAUCACAGUGACUCAGCCUGGAGCAGUGAGCUCUGCUGUGGGAGGACCUGUGAGCAUCAACUGUAGGACCAGUCAGGAUGUUUAUGUUUCUAGCAACUAUCACCAUUUAGCCUGGUACCAACAGAGAGAUGGAGACGUUCCCAAACUCCUCAUUAAGCGUGCCUAUGAGCGAAUAUCAGGGAUUCCAGCUCGUUUUACAGGCAGUGGAUCAAACUCUGACUUCACUCUGACCAUCAGUGGAGUCCAGGCUGAAGAUGCAGCAGUUUAUUACUGUCAGAGUUUUCACUAUCCUAACAGUCAGCAUGUGUUCACACAGUGA